AAAUUUGAAAAUGGCAGCUCUUCUAAGCUCCACCCCCUCUCGUUAGCACUCCGUCCAAAGCUACGCCCCCACAAACAUGAACGCGCAUCCACAGUCGGAGUCAGCUGCAGGUCACAGGAAAACCGAGUAUUUCAACACAUUAUAGGCAUCAACCAAACGACUUCAUGUCUCAUUCACCUAGUUUCCACGACGAGAGCAUUUGAUCUGAUCCUACAUACAGUCCGCAUCCGAGCACGUCUUCAGGUCAAAGGGGACAGACCCGAGGUCGUGCUCGAGGAAGAGGAGGUGCACGGGGUAGAAGCCGAGGAAGUCGAGGUAGAGGACGCGGAGCAAGUCAGACUGCAACCGGAGAACACCUGAGACAUGACGAUAUUCUGCGAGUCGAGAAUCUGCAAGCUCAACGAAUUUCAGAUGAGCAGGCCAGAAUUCAUACACUGAGCUUGGAAGAAUCCCAUCAGUUGCUGCAGAUCUGCCUGACAAGGGACCCAAGCCUCAUCUUUGAUCUCCUCCAUAUGUCAACAUCAGGAGAUGCUCCUCCACCAGGCCCUCCAGCUCCGAGUCAACCCACUUGGUGUGUGUGCCGAAACUGCAGAGAGAUGCCCUCAGAUGUAGAAAGAAAGUGCUGUGGGCAACAAGACGACUCCUGUAUUUCCAUGCUGCCCCACAUGGAAUUGUACAUUUUGCAGGAGGGGGUGUUGCGACUUGCCAGAAGGAUCUGGAAUGAUGUCCGGGCUGUGGAGGAUCUUCCAGACCCAGGGGAGAGCAAUAAACAAUUCCGCUACGCUGCAUACCGGCAAUAUGUUGUGUGGCAAUAUGGGGCACUGGGAGCUGGGCACAGAGUAGUAAUUCCUAGUUGCUGUGUUUUGGAAAAUUAGAGACCGCUACCCAGAUACACAUGGACAGUAUACAGGUUUCAUCCCAAGUAGGGUGUAGGCACAGUACAAUAAAUAGUAUUUAUUUUUGUGCCCUGCUUUUUUAUUUAUUUUGUACUGGUUUAUAUAUUGUUCUGUAAAAUUUGCACUAAUGUAUACAGUAUGUACAGUCAUAUUAUUAUUUAAAUUUUGUCAUGUUU